rnacentral:misc_RNA from 1 species
AAGUCGUAACAAGGUCUCCGUUGGUGAACCAGCGGAGGGAUCAUUACCGAGUUUACAACUCCCAAACCCCUGUGAACAUACCACUUGUUGCCUCGGCGGAUCAGCCCGCUCCCGGUAAAACGGGACGGCCCGCCAGAGGACCCCUAAACUCUGUUUCUAUAUGUAACUUCUGAGUAAAACCAUAAAUAAAUCAAAACUUUCAACAACGGAUCUCUUGGUUCUGGCAUCGAUGAAGAACGCAGCAAAAUGCGAUAAGUAAUGUGAAUUGCAGAAUUCAGUGAAUCAUCGAAUCUUUGAACGCACAUUGCGCCCGCCAGUAUUCUGGCGGGCAUGCCUGUUCGAGCGUCAUUUCAACCCUCAAGCACAGCUUGGUGUUGGGACUCGCGUUAAUUCGCGUUCCUCAAAUUGAUUGGCGGUCACGUCGAGCUUCCAUAGCGUAGUAGUAAAACCCUCGUUACUGGUAAUCGUCGCGGCCACGCCGUUAAACCCCCAACUUCUGAAUGUUGACCUCGGAUCAGGUAGGAAUACCCGCUGAACUUAAGCAUAUCAAUAAGCGGAGGAAAAGAAACCAACAGGGAUUGCCCUAGUAACGGCGAGUGAAGCGGCAACAGCUCAAAUUUGAAAUCUGGCUCUCGGGCCCGAGUUGUAAUUUGUAGAGGAUACUUUUGAUGCGGUGCCUUCCGAGUUCCCUGGAACGGGACGCCAUAGAGGGUGAGAGCCCCGUCUGGUUGGAUGCCAAAUCUCUGUAAAGUUCCUUCAACGAGUCGAGUAGUUUGGGAAUGCUGCUCUAAAUGGGAGGUAUAUGUCUUCUAAAGCUAAAUACCGGCCAGAGACCGAUAGCGCACAAGUAGAGUGAUCGAAAGAUGAAAAGCACUUUGAAAAGAGAGUUAAAAAGUACGUGAAAUUGUUGAAAGGGAAGCGUUUAUGACCAGACUUGGGCUUGGUUAAUCAUCUGGGGUUCUCCCCAGUGCACUUUUCCAGUCCAGGCCAGCAUCAGUUUUCCCCGGGGGAUAAAGGCGGCGGGAAUGUGGCUCUCUUCGGGGAGUGUUAUAGCCCACCGUGUAAUACCCUGGGGGGGACUGAGGUUCGCGCAUCUGCAAGGAUGCUGGCGUAAUGGUCAUCAACGACCCGUCUUGAAACACGGACCAAGGAGUCGUCUUCGUAUGCGAGUGUUCGGGUGUCAAACCCCUACGCGUAAUGAAAGUGAACGCAGGUGAGAGCUUCGGCGCAUCAUCGACCGAUCCUGAUGUUCUCGGAUGGAUUUGAGUAAGAGCAUACGGGGCCGGACCCGAAAGAAGGUGAACUAUGCCUGUAUAGGGUGAAGCCAGAGGAAACUCUGGUGGAGGCUCGCAGCGGUUCUGACGUGCAAAUCGAUCGUCAAAUAUGGGCAUGGGGGCGAAAGAC